rnacentral:lncRNA from 1 species
UUUGUAUUUCGAAGAGAAAAGUUAUAUCAAUUUCCAUUUCUAGGUUGUAAGCAAUCAGAUAAAUGAAACCAAAAAGACAUUGAAUCAUUUAAGCUAGAGAAAACUUUGCUAUAUGCAUCUAAUUAACAACCCAAUCUUUUAGUGAUGGUCGACUCCAAACCAUUGAAUAUAUUGGCCAUGUUACUUUAUAGACAAAAUUAGUGCUUAAUAAAUCAUACAAAAUUACAAU